UGGCGGCCGUAGCGCGGUGGUCCCACCUGACCCCAUGCCGAACUCAGAAGUGAAACGCCGUAGCGCCGAUGGUAGUGUGGGGUCUCCCCAUGCGAG
rnacentral:rRNA from 2 species